rnacentral:rRNA from 1 species
AAAGAGAAGCGAAACUGCGAAGUGGAGCAAAACUCUAAAAGACAUCUCAGUUCAGAUUGCAGGCUGCAACUCGCCUGCAUGAAGUCGGAAUUGCUAGUAAUCGUAGGUCAGCAUACUACGGUGAAUACGUUCCCGGGCCUUGUACACACCGCCCGUCAAACCAUGAGAGUUGGCAACACCCGAAGUCGGUAGUCUAACCGCAAGGAGGACGCCGCCGAAGGUGGGGUUGAUGGUUAGGGUUAAGUCGUAACAAGGUACC